rnacentral:rRNA from 1 species
GUACGAGAGGACCGGGAUGGACAUACCUCUGGUGUACCAGUUGUCGUGCCAACGGCAUCGCUGGGUAGCUAUGUAUGGACGGGAUAAGUGCUGAAAGCAUCUAAGCAUGAAGCCCCCCUCAAGAUGAGAUUUCCCAACUUCGGUUAUAAGAUCCCUCAAAGAUGAUGAGGUUAAUAGGUUCGAGGUGGAAGCAUAGCGAUAUGUGCAGCUGACGAAUACUAAUCGAUCGAAGACUUAAUCAA